CAACAAUUGCGUUUCGAUGGGCAGCUAAAAGCAGCCGCAUUCGAGAAUUAUAUAUAUUUAAAUAUUAAUAUUGAAUAGAUAAAUGUUUCAUUGCACUUGGCAGAGCGCAGCGGAGUUGCCGAGACUUCGAGAUCUAUAAGUCGAUGUAUAAACUAACACUAAAACUAAAACUAAAGUACUACACAUACAUACAUGCUACAUACAUUUAUCGUAUAUGUAUACCACUCUUUAUGACUUUUAACGACAAUGUACGAUAAUUUCACUAAUUAAAUUGUUUAACGAGCAACAGGCAAACUAAGCAUAAACAAAAACCAACAACCAAAAAAACAAACCAAAAGACAGA
rnacentral:lncRNA from 1 species